rnacentral:rRNA from 1 species
GAUGAACGCUGGCGGCGUGCCUAAUACAUGCAAGUCGAGCGAACGGACGAGAAGCUUGCUUCUCUGAUGUUAGCGGCGGACGGGUGAGUAACACGUGGAUAACCUACCUAUAAGACUGGGAUAACUUCGGGAAACCGUAGCUAAUACCGGAUAAUAUUUUGAACCGCAUGGUUCAAAAGUGAAAGACGGUCUUGCUGUCACUUAUAGAUGGAUCCGCGCUGCAUUAGCUAGUUGGUAAGGUAACGGCUUUCCAAGGCAACGAUGCAUAGCCGACCUGAGAGGGUGAUCGGCCACACUGGAACUGAGACACGGUCCAGACUCCUACGGGAGGCAGCAGUAGGGAAUCUUCCGCAAUGGGCGAAAGCCUGACGGAGCAACGCCGCGUGAGUGAUGAAGGUCUUCGGAUCGUAAAACUCUGUUAUUAGGGAAGAACAUAUGUGUAAGUAACUGUGCACAUCUUGACGGUACCUAAUCAGAAAGCCACGGCUAACUACGU